GGAGGACUAGUCCUAACGGUAAGGCAGCGGACUUGAAAUCCGCCGAGCUUCUGCUCAUGGGGGUUCGAAUCCCUCGUCCUCCG
rnacentral:tRNA from 1 species